rnacentral:rRNA from 1 species
GGGCGCAAGCCUGAUGCAGCGACGCCGCGUGAGGGAUGGAGGCCUUCGGGUUGUAAACCUCUUUUAUUGGGGAGCAAGCGAGAGUGAGUUUACCCGUUGAAUAAGCACCGGCUAACUACGUGCCAGCAGCCGCGGUAAUACGUAGGGUGCAAGCGUUAUCCGGAAUUAUUGGGCGUAAAGGGCUCGUAGGCGGUUCGUCGCGUCCGGUGUGAAAGUCCAUCGCCUAACGGUGGAUCCGCGCCGGGUACGGGCGGGCUUGAGUGCGGUAGGGGAGACUGGAAUUCCCGGUGUAACGGUGGAAUGUGUAGAUAUCGGGAAGAACACC